rnacentral:rRNA from 1 species
AUUGAACGCUGGCGGCAUGCCUUACACAUGCAAGUCGAACGGCAGCGGACCUUCGGGUGCCGGCGAGUGGCGAACGGGUGAGUAAUAUAUCGGAACGUACCUUUCAGUGGGGGAUAACGUAGCGAAAGUUACGCUAAUACCGCAUAUUCUGUGAGCAGGAAAGCAGGAGAUCGCAAGACCUUGCGCUGAUUGANCGGCCGAUAUCAGAUUAGCUAGUUGGUGAGGUAAAGGCUCACCAAGGCGACGAUCUGUAGCGGGUCUGAGAGGAUGAUCCGCCACACUGGAACUGAGACACGGUCCAGACUCCUACGGGAGGCAGCAGUGGGGAAUUUUGGACAAUGGGCGCAAGCCUGAUCCAGCCAUGCCGCGUGAGUGAAGAAGGCCUGUGU